AUACGGAGGGUGCAAGCGUUGUCCGGAAUCACUGGGCGUAAAGGGCGCGUAGGCGGCGCAGUAAGUAGGGGGUGAAAUCUCACGGCUCAACCGUGAAACUGCCUCCUAAACUGCUGUGCUUGAGCACGGUAGAGGCAGAUGGAAUUCCCGGUGUAGCGGUGGAAUGCGUAGAUAUCGGGAAGAACACCAGUGGCGAAGGCGGUCUGCUGGGCCGUUGCUGACGCUGAGGCGCGACAGCGUGGGGAGCAAACAGGAUUAGAAACCCCGGUAGUCC
rnacentral:rRNA from 1 species